UACGUAGGGUGCGAGCGUUAAUCGGAAUUACUGGGCGUAAAGCGUGCGCAGGCGGUCUGGUAAGACCGAUGUGAAAUCCCCGGGCUUAACCUGGGAACUGCAUUGGUGACUGGCAGGCUUUGAGUGUGGCAGAGGGAGGUAGAAUUCCACGUGCAGCAGUGAAAUGCGUAGAGAUGUGGAGGAAUACCGAUGGCGAAGGCAGCCUCCUGGGCCAACACUGACGCUCAUGCACGAAAGCGUGGGGAGCAAACAGG
rnacentral:rRNA from 1 species